UGCUACUUUGGUCGGUACAGAGGAUUGCCAAGCCGCGAGGUGGAGCAUAUCUCACAAAAGCGAUCGUAGUGCGGAUCGCAGUCUGCAACUCGAGUGCGUGAAGUCGGAAUCGCUAGUAAUCGCGAAUCAGAAUGUCGCGGUGAAUACGUUCCCGGGCCUUGUACACACCGCCCGUCACACCAUGGGAGUGGGUUGCACCAGAAGUAGCUAGUCUAACCUUCGGGGGGACGGUUACCACGGUGUGAUUCAUGACUGGGGUGAAGUCGUAACAAGGUAGCCGUAGGGGAACCUGCGGCUGGAUCACCUCCUUA
rnacentral:rRNA from 1 species